rnacentral:rRNA from 1 species
UACGGAAGGCAGCAGUGGGGAAUAUUGCACAAUGGGCGCAAGCCUGAUGCAGCCAUGCCGCGUGUAUGAAAAAGGCCUUCGGGUUGUAAAGUACUUUCAGUCGUGAGGAAGGUGUUAAGGUUAAUAACCUUAGCAAUUGACGUUAGCGACAGAAGAAGCACCGGCUAACUCCGUGCCAGCAGCCGCGGUAAUACGGAGGGUGCGAGCGUUAAUCGGAAUUACUGGGCGUAAAGGGCACGCAGGCGGUUAAUUAAGUUGGAUGUGAAAUCCCCGGGCUUAACCUGGGAAUGGCAUUCAAGACUGGUUAGCUAGAGUCUUGUAGAGGGGGUAGAAUUCCAUGUGUAGCGGUGAAAUGCGUAGAGAUGUGGAGGAAUACCGGUGGCGAAGGCGGCCCCUGGACAAAGACUGACGCUCAUGUGCGAAAGCUGGGGAGCGAAACAGGGAUUAGAUACC